ACAAGAAGAAAGCACAACCGACCCCGUCCACAACGAGUAAAGUCCACCCGCUUAUACAACCGGCACAAGCUACGGCUAUUCCCCAAGGCACUUACGUCUUCUACGGGGCGUAGCCCUCGCUCCACUUGCAAUUUCUAUAGGAGAUCUGUGGCAAGCAUCAAGGGAACUUGCUGUCUGCCUUAAUAUCUCCAGCUAGAGUCAAUUAUUGAGGCAGAGUUGCACCAUGGGCUUUGGUGUUGGAAUUGAAUACCUGGAAGAGGGGAUUGCCGGUGGGAACCAGCAAACCUCCCGAUAUCUGAUUCCACUCAGCAAAGGAAUGACAAUACAUGCUCGUUCACCUGCACAUCUACCAAUGUGAUAUAUGCCAUUAUGUGCAAGCAGUGCCCCUCUGCCAUGUACAUUGGUCAAACUGGACAGUCUCUACGUAAAAGAAUAAAUGGACACAAAUCAGAUGUCAAGGAUUAUAACAUUCAUAAACCAGUCGGAGAACACUUCAAUCUCUCUGGUCACGCGAUUACAGACAUGAAAGUUGCGAUAUUACAACAAAAGAGCUUCAAAUCCAGACUCCAGCGAGAAACUGUUGAAUCGGAAUUCAUUUGCAAAUUGGAUACAAUUAACUUAGGCUUGAAUAGAGACUGGGAGUGGCUAAGUCAUUAUGCAAGAUCUCCAUGCUUUGUACAAAUCAAGAGAAUCUUCUUCCCAGUUUUGGCUUACCCUGAGUCUGUGAUUUAAAAAAGUAUUUGAAUUACCUAGACAUUAAGGAGAGCUCUAAAUUUCAACUUGGGUAAGUUUAAGUAGUUUUUUUUUCCCCUCUAAAAGUCCAUCUUGUGUGGAUGUAAGCAGAGUCAGAAUGAGCUCUACCCUGACAUCUGAUGGUAAGCUGUGGAAAAGGACUUCAGGGGCUGAUCUCGUUUCCGUGAGCACUCUUGUUUGCAUGGGCACACCCAGCCUGCCUAACUUGAUGGGCUGCUUGUCCAAAUGGUCACUUUGGCUGCUGUGGGAUCCCCAGUCUCUCUGUUGUUGGGGCAGGAGUAAUAAAGGGUUGUUAUCCUGCUUAUGUGAAUCAAGGACAGUAGAACUGUACUUGGCAUUUUAUGAUGGAGGGACUCGCCCUCAACUAAGUAGCACUUGCUAGGCAAGGGACAUGGGUUCCAAAACCCAGUGAAUUAAGAGAGGUUGGGGAUAUCUAUGUGGGCCCCUUCUGAGGGCCUGAAACGCUACUUUGACCCCUCCUUUCUCAAUGGUGUAAUAACAGAGCUAAUUUUGGCUCCAUUCGGAGUCUUGUUACCUGCUGCAGAGCUGAAAUCAGUGACAGCUAGGUCUAAGCAUUAGACCUACUUUGGGCUACUGGUGUACCAGCACUGAGGCUCCCUCCUACGACCAGCUAAAAAUCACUGAGAGCUGAAGUUGCUGAGAGCUGUGUUAAGCAGGGCAGGGGGCCUGAAGACAAGUUUGUGAGCAGACAGCAGGACAUCUAGCCGAAUGGAGUGGUUAGCAGGGCAGCUGAUCGAGAGGUGUGGCUGGUGGUGAAGACUGCAGCAGAAGCCCUGGAGAGGCAUGGCACUUGGCUGUCAAGCAGCGGAGCAUAUAAGAUGCUUCCCCCAUACCGCCUUCCACUUCCACCCAGGCUGGGAGGUAAACUCUGCAGAUGAACUUCUGAACUCUGGGGGGGCUGAACUGAUCAAGGACAGAAACUGGAGGGGGAGGGGGGGAUGAAUGUUGCGUUGCUGGACUUAAGACCCUGAGGGGAAAAGGACAUUGCCAAACUUACUUGUGGUGGGUCUUUUGCUCAUGGUUGGUGUUAUGAAUCAUGUUUGUGGUGUUUCCCCCACAUAAUGCUGCAAUGUUUCCCUCCUUUAUUAAAAGGCUUUUGCUACACUCA